rnacentral:rRNA from 1 species
CCUACGGGAGGCAGCAGUGGGGAAUAUUGCACAAUGGGGGAAGCCCUGAUGCAGCGACGCCGCGUGAGCGAUGAAGGAUUUCGGUAUGUAAAGCUCUAUCAGCAGGGAAGAAAAUGACGGUACCUGACUAAGAAGCCCCGGCUAACUACGUGCCAGCAGCCGCGGUAAUACGUCGGGGGCACGCGUUAUCCGGAUUUACUGGGUGUAAAGGGAGCGUGGACGGUCCUGCAAGCCAGAUGUGAAAGCCCGGAGCUCAACCCCGG